UCCCUGAUGGCUCAGAGGGUAAAGCGUCUGCCUGCAAUGCAGGAGAUCCGGCUUCAGUUCCUGGGCUGGGAA
rnacentral:tRNA from 1 species